rnacentral:rRNA from 1 species
CAGUAGCCGCGGGAAUACGAAGGGUGCAAGCGUUACUCGGAAUUACUGGGCGUAAAGCGUGCGUAGGUGGUGGUUUAAGUCCGUUGUGAAAGCCCUGGGCUCAACCUGGGAAUUGCAGUGGAUACUGGGUCACUAGAGUGUGGUAGAGGAUAGUGGAAUUUCCGGUGUAGCAGUGAAAUGCGUAGAGAUCGGAAGGAACAUCUGUGGCGAAGGCGACUAUCUGGGCCAACACUGACGCUGAGGCACGAAAGCGUGGGGAGCAAACAGGAUUAGAUACCCGAGUAGUCCCUGUCUCUUAUAC